CGUUGAAAUCGCGCAGGCCCAGUUCAGGGCUGCUUUGCGAGCAGCCCUGGCGUGAGUUGAGCACGUGUUCCAAGUGGCGUUUGAUCGCC
rnacentral:tRNA from 1 species